AGAGUUUGAUCCUGGCUCAGGAUGAACGCUGGCGGCGUGCCUAACACAUGCAAGUCGAGCGUGAACCCUUAGAAUGAAACUUCGGUCGAAUGAAGAGGGGGAAAGCGGCGGACGGGUGAGUAACGCGUAGGCAACCUGCCCCGUACAGAGGGAUAGCCUCGGGAAACCGGGAUUAAAACCUCAUAAUACCAUGGUAUCACAUGAUGCAAUGGUCAAAGAUUUAUCGGUAUGGGAUGGGCCUGCGUCUGAUUAGCUGGUUGGUGGGGUAACGGCCUACCAAGGCAACGAUCAGUAGCCGACCUGAGAGGGUAAUCGGCCACAUUGGAACUGAGACACGGUCCAAACUCCUACGGGAGGCAGCAGUGGGGAAUAUUGCACAAUGGGCGAAAGCCCUGAUGCAGCAACGCCGCGUGAGCGAAGAAGGCCUUUGGGUCGUAAAGCUCUGUCGGGAAGGAAGAUAAUGACGGUACUUCCCGAGGAAGCCCCGGCUAACUACGUGCCAGCCGCGGC
rnacentral:rRNA from 1 species